rnacentral:rRNA from 1 species
UGGGGAAUAUUGUACAAUGGGGGCAACCCUGAUCCAGCCAUGCCGCGUGUGUGAAGAAGGCCCUCGGGUUGUAAAGCACUUUAAGCAGUGAGGAAGGCUGUGAGGUUACUACCCUUGCAGAUUGACGUUAACUGCAGAAUAAGCACCGGCUAACUCCGUGCCAGCAGCCGCGGUAAUACGGAGGGUGCAAGCGUUUAUCGGAAUUACUGGGCGUAAAGCGCGCGUAGGCGGUUUGUUAAGUGAGAUGUGACAGCCCAGGGCUCAACCUUGGAACUGCAUCUCAUACUGGCAGGCUAGAGUACGGUAGAGGGGGGUAGAAUUCCACGUGUAGCGGUGAAAUGCGUAGAGAUGUGGAGGAAUACCAGUGGCGAAGGCGGCCCCCUGGAUCGAUCCUGACGCUGAGGUGCGAAAGCGUGGGGAGCAAACAGGAUUAGAUACCCCGGUAGUCC